rnacentral:misc_RNA from 1 species
GGCAUUUCGUAAACAUAAAAAAGAAGUAAAAAAGGUGCGCCAUGCUUUGAUAGAAAUAAGUAACUGAGCAGGAUGGGACUCACAGAAUAUCAAUGUUAGGGAAGAAAUAGAGAAGCAAACACCAAUUGUUUUACGAGAUAAAAUCUUUCAUGGAUUAUUACGAGCAAAAGAUGUGCAUAUGGACACACCUAGUUUACAGGGUUUCAUGAGGAGAAGACUUCAAAG